rnacentral:rRNA from 1 species
UAACUGACGCUGAGGAGCGAAAGCGUGGGGAGCGAACAGGAUUAGAUACCCUGGUAGUCCACGCCGUAAACGGUGGGUGCUAGUUGUGGGCCACAUUCCACGUGGUCCGUGACGAAGUUAACACAUUAAGCACCCCGCCUGGGGAGUACGGUCGCAAGACUAAAACUCAAAGGAAUUGACGGGGGCCCGCACAAGCGGCGGAGCAUGCGGAUUAAUUCGAUGCAACGCGAAGAACCUUACCAAGGCUUGACAUAUAGAGGAAACGUGCAGAAAUGUACGCCCCGCAAGGUCUCUAUACAGGUGGUGCAUGGUUGUCGUCAGCUCGUGUCGUGAGAUGUUGGGUUAAGUCCCGCAACGAGCGCAACCCUCGUCCUAUGUUGCCAGCACGUAAAGGUGGGAACUCAUGGGAGACUGCCGGGGUCAACUCGGAGGAAGGUGGGGAUGACGUCAAAUCAUCAUGCCCCUUAUGUCUUGGGCUUCACGCAUGCUACAAUGGCCAGUACAAAGGGCUGCAAUACCGUAAGGUGGAGCGAAUCCCAAAAAGCUGGUCUCAGUUCGGAUUGAGGUCUGCAACUCAACCUCAUGAAGUCGGAGUCGCUAGUAACCGCAGAUCAGCAACGCUGCGGUGAAUACGUUCCCGGGCCUUGUACACACCGCCCGUCAAGUCACGAAAGUCGGUAACACCCGAAGCCGGUGGCCUAACC